rnacentral:rRNA from 1 species
AUUGAACGCUGGCGGCAGGCCUAACACAUGCAAGUCGAACGAGUGGCGGACGGGUGAGUAAUGUCUGGGAAACUGCCCGAUGGAGGGGGAUAACUACAGGAAACGGUAGCUAAUACCGCAUACCAUCGGAUGUGCCCAGAUGGGAUUAGCUAGUAGGUGUGGUAACGGCUCACCUAGGCGACGAUCCCUAGCUGGUCUGAGAGGAUGAUCCGCCACACUGGAACUUAGGCACGGUCCAGAAUCCUACGGUAGGCAGCAGUGGGGAAUAUUGCACAAGUGGCGCAAGCCUGAUGUAGCCAUGCCGCGUGUAUGAAGAAGGCCUUCGGGUUGUAAAGUACUUUCAGCGAGGAGGCGUUACUCGCAGAAGAAGCACCGGCUAACUCCGUGCCAGCAGCCGCGGUAAUAC